rnacentral:rRNA from 1 species
GACGAAGGGUGCAAGCGUUAUCCGGAUUCACUGGGUUUAAAGGGUGCGUAGGCGGAUAGGUAAGUCCGUGGUGAAAUCCUGCAGCUUAACUGCAGAACUGCCAUGGAUACUAUUUAUCUUGAAUGUCGUGGAGGUUAGCAGAAUAUGUCAUGUAGCGGUGAAAUGCUUAGAUAUGACAUAGAACACCAAUUGCGAAGGCAGCUUACUACCCGAAUAUUGACACUGAGGCACGAAAGCGUGGGGAUCAAACAGG